GACAGAGGUGCCGAGCGUUAGGCGGAAUCACUGGGCUUAAAGCGUGUGUAGGCGGGCGAUCAAGUACCUUGUGAAAUCCCACGGCUCAACCGUGGAACCGCUGGGUAUACUGGUUGUCUUGAGCCGGCUAGGGGCGAGCGGAACAGACGGUGGAGCGGUGAAAUGCGUAGAUAUCGUCUGGAACGCCGAAGGUGACAACAGCUCGCUGGGGCCGCGCUGACGCUGAGACACGAAAGCCAGGGGAGCGAACGGG
rnacentral:rRNA from 1 species